rnacentral:rRNA from 1 species
UACAGAGGGGGCAAGCGUUGUUCGGAAUUACUGGGCGUAAAGGGCGCGUAGGCGGCCUUCUAAGUCGAACGUGAAAUCCCCGGGCUCAACCCGGGAACUGCGUCCGAGACUGAAAGGCUCGAAUCCGGGAGAGGGAUGUGGAAUUCCAGGUGUAGCGGUGAAAUGCGUAGAUAUCAAGAGGAACACCUGAGGUGAAGACGGGUUGCUGGGCUGACACUGACGCUGAGGCGCGAAAGCCAGGGGAGCAAACGGG